rnacentral:rRNA from 1 species
AAGGGCACCACAAGCGCGUGGAGUAUGUGGCUUAAUUUGACUCAACGCGGAAAAGCUUAUCUGGUCCGGACACAGUGAGGAUUGACAGACGGUCUUAUUGGUGGACUCUAAGACGUCAUGGUAAAGUUGAAGUUCUUUCAUGAUCUUGUGGCAGGUGGUGCAUGGCCGUUCUUAGUUCGCGUAGUGAUACGUCUGCCUAAUCGCGUCACGAUAACCUAUUUCUCGACAAUCCAAAGAUCUUCGUGCAGUAUCUAUUGGUACGGUGCUCACGUUAGUAGGCUAGAGAUUUGAACAGUACGCAACGGACGCGAUCGUAAUCUCUUGUUAAGUGGCCAUCCUGUGAGCCCCUGAUUUAAUGGCAGGCGGUAUCAUCUCAGCCACAUUUCCUCUGGUAGUAGUGGGCCAGAUUUAAAACUCGAGAAACAUCUGUGACUUUCUUUCUUUACGCAGAGGAAGGUUAUGGCAAUAACAGGUCUGUGAUGCCCUCAGAUGUCCAGAGCUGCACACGUACUACAGUGAUCGACUCACUAAGUGUCGUGUUUUCUCCAAAUAACGUAUACAGUGGACUUGGUGUCGGGUGCUGGCCUCUGGUCAUGUGCUUUGAUUACUGUCACUUUAAACACUGGUCGUUAGACUCGUGCAAGCAAUUCAGAGCAACGAAUUGCAAACACUCUUUGGGCACUGUUUACUCCCGUUUACAGAGGAGAGAUAGACUAACCACCUAUUCUCGACUCGCCCGCCCAUCUUUCAAUUCUUGGUGGGGACAGUAGGUUGUUAACUUUCUUACUCGGUCCUAACCAGGAAUGCCUCGUACAGGUUGGUUCACCAUACCACCUGGAAUUAGUCCCUGCCCUUUGUACACACCGCCCGUCGCUUUUACCAAUGAACUACUUUGCGAGAGUGUGGGACCCAUUGAGCUUUCAAGUACAGGGAACCCAUUCGACCAACGGAGUUUAAAGGAAAAAGAAGUCGUAACAAGGCAUCCGUAGGUGAACCUGCAGAAGGAUCA